rnacentral:lncRNA from 1 species
AAUUGCUUUUGGUGUCCAUGGAUGACAUAUGGGUAAUUGGUCAACAUGGUAGUUGCUUAUGGUGUCCAUGGAUGACAUGAGGGUCAUUGGUUAACAUGGUGUAGUUACUUAUGAUUUCCAUGGAUGAUAUAUGGGUUAUUGGUCAACAUGGUAGUUGCUUAUGGUGUCCAUGGAUGACAUAUGGGUCCUUGGUCAAGCAGGUGUAAUUGCUUAUGAUGUCCAUGGAUGACAUAUGGGUCAUUGGUCAACAUGUUGUAUUUGCUUAUGGUGUCCAUGGAUGGCAUAUGGGUCAUUGGUAAAGAUGGUGUAGUUGCUUAUGGUGUCCAUGGAUGAAAUACGGGUCAUUGUUCAAGAUGGUAGUUGCUAAUGGUGUCCAUGGAUGACAUAUGGGUCAUUAGUCAACAUGUACUUAUUUAUUGUGUCCAUGGAUGACAUAUGGGUCAUUGGUCAACAUGGUAGUUGCUUAUGGUGUCCAGGGAUGACAUAUAGGUCAUUGGUCAACAUGUAGUUGCUUAUGGUGUCCGACAUAUGGGUAAUUAGUAAACUUGGUGUAAUUGCUUAUGGUGUCCAUGGAUGACAUAUGGGUCAUCGGUAAACUUGGUAGUUGCUUAUGGUGUCCAUAGACGACUUAUGCGUCAUUGGUCAACAUGGUGUAGUUACUUAUGGUGUCCAUGGAUGACAUAUGGGUCAUUGGUCACCAUGGUUGUUGCUUAUGGUGUCCAUGGAUGACAUAUGUGUUAUUGGUCAACAUGGUGUAGUUACUUAUGGUAUGUUUGGAUAAAAUAUGGGUCAUUGGUCAACAUGGUAGUUGCUUAUUGUGUCCAUGGAUGACAUAUCGGUCGCUGGUCAACAUGGUGUAGUUGCUUAUGUUGUCCAAGGAUGACAUAUGGGUCAUUGGUCAACGUGGUGUAGUUCCUUAUGGUGUCCAUGGAUGACAUAUGCGUCAGAUGACAUAUGGGUGAUUGGUCAACAUGUAGUUGCUUAUGUUGUCCAUGGAUGACAUAUGUAUCAUUGGUCAACAUGUGAUCGUUGCUUAUGGUGUUCGUGGAUGACAUAUGAGUCAUUGGUCAACAUGGUGCAGUUGCUUAUGUUGUCCAUGGAUGACAUACGGUUCAUUGGUCAACAUGGUAAUUGCUUAUGGUGUGAUGGUAAUUCCCAUGGAUGACAUAUGGGCCAUUGGUCAACAUGUAGUUGCUUAUGGUUUCCAUGUAUGACAUAUGUGUCAUUGGUCAACAUGGUAGUUGCGUAUGGUGUCCAUGGAUGACGUAUAGGUCAUUAGUCAACAUGGUGUAGUUGCUUUUGGUGUCCAUGGAUAACAUAUAAGUCAUUGGUCAACAUGGUAGUUUCUUAUGAUGUCCAUGGAUGACAUUGUUGGAUAAGGUGUCUAAGUCUAUAACUAUUUCUGGUAAGUACUUGAUCCGACCCGACAUGGUCCAUUUGGGUUGCAUGGCACCAUGCUAUUGGAUAGACUAAAUGAGAUAAAUAACACUUGGAGAUUAUUAAUAUAUUAUAAGUUCUAAUAUAUUAAUACUAUUAUUUAAUUAGUUUGAUCAAGAAUUAAUUUAGAAUUAAUUAAGUGAUCAAAAGAUAACUAAUUAAAUAUAUGGGUUGAUUAUGUAAAUCAUCCAUAUCUUGUAUAGUGGGCUAAGAGGCUCUAUGGAUUAUCAAGUUGGGUUCCACCCAUAGGAUGCUCCAUGGGAGUUACAAACCCAUGGGUCAUGGAAAUGAAGAGUCGUGACACAUUAGGGUUUACAUGGUGUAAGAUGUGUUAACACUAUAUAAGAAUCCUAUUCUCCACCAAAAUCGGCUACACAUAUGAUACCAGAGGGCUAGGCCAAUUUUAAGAAGUGUGUGUUCUCUCAAAAGUAUUUCCAAGAGCAUUUGGUGUUGUGUGAAGUAUUAGAGGCAUCACACUUGGGGUGCUAGGCUCACCAGGUUUCAAGGAAUACUUUCAACCACAAGGUAUGUAGUUCUAUCUUUCAUUCAAGUUAAAAAUUGUACCCCAUGUAUGCUAGAUAGGUUCAUAACCUUGGAAAACAACUUUGUAUGAUUAUUAGACAAACAUAGAUCCAAGGUUAUUAGGGUUGCAUGUACACUUAGGAAGUGUUAGAAUGCUUAAAACCCAUCAGUGGUAUCAGAGCCUAGGCUUGCUUGUUUGAUUUUUGUGAAAACUGCUUGAAAAAUCGAGUUUUCUGCUUUCUGCCCAUAUGAACUCGCCGAGUCUAUAGGGGGACUCGACGAUUCCAUGACCAAAUGCAAGCUACUCGUCGAGUCAGUUCAUGCACUCGACGAGUAGAGGCUGCAGUUUUCAGAAUUUCGAUUUUUGUUGCUGGAAAUGGACUAGGAACAUUACCCUAAAUUGUUUUGGUGUUUUAAAACUUUCUUUAGUUGGUGUAAUGUUCAUGUUAAUCCAUUUACAAUGACAAAUUAUCAAAAUUACAAGUUUUUAGGUGUAAUUUUUUAUUCAUGAAAGUGUUCAUAUUCAUGUUCUUGAUCUUAUGAUGUUUAGAUGAUCAUAGGAAUUGUUUGUAACCUAUGUGGUAGAUUAAUUCAUGAUCAUUAUGUGUUUUAAUGGAGUCCAUAACUUGUCCUCAAGUUAUGGAAAACCAAAAGUCACUUUGUUUUUAAAACCAUUAAAAGAACACAUGGGUUAUAAAAAUGAAGAGUCUUCAGUUUUAAUACUCUAAUUAACUCAUAAGUUACAAGAAAUGAAAAGUUUUGAAAGUUUACAAAACUUGCCCUCAAGUUUUGGAACAAGUAAAGUCUUGAUUAAAACUUUAGUUCCAACCCUUAGAAUUUUAAAAGUUAAAAUUCAACCCUAAUACUUAUAAUAUUAUAAGUUAAUAAUAAUAUAUAUGUAUAAGAUCAAAGUCGUCUUACCGCUAGUACGGCUCAUUCACGAAGCCGGUCUAUAAGGGGGGUAUAAGGUUGUUUCCUAUAAAAUGACAACUUAAUGGGUGUCCACUCUCACCCACCGCUUCCUUGAUCGGUGGAGGGUCGUUAGCUGAACCGGUAGGACAAGGACUUAUAUAUUCUCAUAAAAAGUUUGAUGAAUAUUAUAAAGUAACUAAAUGCUUUUAUUAAAUUCACAAUCUUAGUUACUUUGUUUAAGUCGUUGGUGGAGUGUGUGUGGUUAACCGGCACACUAACUUGGACUUAACAAGGUAGGUAAAGGGUGACUUAAGGUUUAUCAUAGUAUCGGUGGAGCGUGUGUGGUUUACCAGCACAUCGAUUGAGUGAUAAACUUUAAGGGUACCAAGUUAUUUGCAUCGUUACUUCACACCUCGUUUUGUGAUCCUUGGUAUCCGAGUCACAAAACCUGGAGGGCACACUCGAGAUUGAAACAUGCCUUUGAAAAGUUCAGUGAGUCUCAAAAGAAUCUAGGAAUUUCUAAGAACCAAUCAAAAACCUAAUAUUUAAUAUUUCGUUUUUCAUGGUGGAAAUUGGUGAAUCAUAUAGCUUGGAUUACAGCAUACCUCUUCGAAGUUAUAAUAUAUUGUGAUUGGAUCCUAGCCUUAAUAUUACAUUUGGGUGUUUUAUUAAGGACUCUUUUAAUAUCUAAACUAAUCUUGUCCUCUUCCUUCAGAUGUCUUCAAACAAUGCUGCUUCUGGCUCGAAUCCUAAUGGCUCCUUUACCCUUAUGAACUUGUGUGGGAAAGUCACUUUUGAUGGAUCCAACUUCAAUGAAUGGAUCAGAAACAUCAGGAUGAUUACUCGCUACGAGGACAAAGAAUAUGUCCUCGACAGGGAGCUUAAGGAGAUUGAUGAGACCACUGCAACUCCCCAAGAGAUCGCUGACUUCCAGGCACAUGAAAGGGAUACUACCAAAGUGGCAUGCAUCAUGAUGGCCACAAUGACAACGGAACUCCAAAAGUCCUAUGAGGACUUCUACCCUUUUGAAAUGCACCAAGAUCUGAUGGAAAGAUACCAUGAAAGUGCAUGAAAAGAGAGGUAUGAAAUCAUCUACUCCAUGAUAACAACCAUGAUGAAGGACGGGGAAUCCGUCACGAGCCACAUGCAGAAAAUGCAAAGGUAUGUGGAUCGUUUGCUGAAGCUUAAUGUGAACUUCCCGGAGGAUCUUGCAAUAGAUAUUAUUUUGCAUUCCUUACCAUCGUGCUAUGAUCAAUUCCGCAUGACAUAUCACAUGAACAAGGAAGAAGUCACCCUCAGCAAACUUCAGGGACUUCUCAAGACCGCAGAAACAGGUCUUAAGGGGAAGUCGGUUGCUAUCACUCCUACUCAAAACUCUACUCCGGUUUUGGCAAUCGGGAAAAGUCGAGGGAGGAAGAGAAAGAGCUCUUCUAAGGGUACCAAGGCUCGGACCCUUGAUGGCUCUUCUUCAAGUGGAACCAAGAAAGGUUUCGUUACUCCUUCUUCUGACCCAAAAGAGGCUGAAUGCUUCUAUUGCCAUGAAAAAGCUCAUUGGAAGCGGAACUGCCCAAAAUACCAGCAAGAUGUGAAGGAUGGGAAAGUUAAACCCAACCAUGCAGGUAUUUACACUAUCAUUUCUAAUAACUCACCCCAUUCUAAUUCUUGGGUCCUUGAUACCGGGUGUGGUAUUCACAUUUGUUGUGACUUGCAGGGACUAAGAAGAAGUGAGGAUGUGGAGCAAGGAAGGAUAAACUUGAUCAUGGGGAAUAGGAAAGCUAUACCUGUUACCAAGAUUGGAGUUUAUACUUUAUCGCUAAGUAGUGGGUUUAGUUUAGAUUUGAAUAAGUGUUGUUAUUCGCCAGGAAUGGCAAGAAAUAUUAUUUCCUUUCAUGCUUUGUACAAACAAGGGUUUACCUUUUCAUUUAAUAAUGAAGUUGGUUCUAUAGAUGUUUUCUAUAAUAAUGUCUUUUAUUUUAAAGCAUUACCUUGUGAUGGUGUGUAUGAAGCUGUAUCUGUUGUAGAUAACUUGGGAAAUAAUGUUUUGUGUAUUGAUUCUACUAAUAAUAACUUGGAUAAAGCAUCUUUAUGGCAUUGUCGUCUUGGACAUAUAAGCAAGAAACGCAUAGGCCAACUCCAAAAGGAUGGAGUCUUGGAGUCGUUUGACCUAAAGUCAGAUGAUAGUUGCGAAUCAUGCUUACUUGGAAAAAUGACAAAGUCACCCUUCACAGGUUCGUGUGAGAGGGGUGAAGGUUUGUUGGACCUUAUACACACGGAUGUGUGUGGACCAUUCAAACAUGCCACAAGGGAUGCUAAUCGUUAUUAUUUGACUUUUACUGAUGAUUAUAGUAGAUAUGGAUAUGUCUACUUGAUCAAGCAUAAGUCAGAGACUUUCGAGAGGUUUAAGGAAUUUAAACAGGAAGUCGAGAAUCAAUUGGGCAGGAACAUUAAGAUGCUUCGAUCCGAUCGUGGUGGUGAGUAUCUUAGUUCAGAGUUCCUCGACUAUCUAAGGGAAUGUGGGAUAGUCUCACAAUUGACACCUCCCAGGACACCACAGUUGAAUGGUGUGGCUGAGAGGCGUAAUCGAACCUUGUUAGAUAUGGUUCGUUCCAUGAUGAGUCGAGCUACGCUACCAAUCUCAUUCUGGGGGUAUGCCUUAGAGACUGCCGCCCAUAUUCUUAAUCUAGUCCCUACAAAGAAAGUUGCCAAAACUCCUCACGAGAUGUGGACUGGUAAAGUACCUAAACUAGACCACAUCAAGAUUUGGGGUUGCGAGGCUUUCGUGAGACGCGAGACUCAUGAUAAGCUCGAACCUUGAAGCGAGAGGUGUAUUUUCAUCGACUACCCAAAGCAAUCCUUUGGUUACCUCUUCUACAGACCGAGUGAAAAUGUAGUCUUUGUAGCUAGGAGGGCUUUCUUUAGAGAGAGAGAGAGAGUUCAUAAGCCAAGGAAACAGUGGGAGGCAAGUUGACCUUGAAGAAAUUCAAGAGUUAAGCGGUGAAGGAACUUCAAACCCUAGCACUCAACUUGAGGAGGAAACUCUUGUUGAGCCAAUUGACAAGUCUGUACCUCUGAGGCGUUCCACAAGGGUUAGGAAUGCACCUGAGCAUUACUAUGGAUUCCAUAUUACUGUGAAAUUUGAUACACUUAUCAGUGAUGAGACACUGAUAAGUUUGGAUGAAUCUAACAGUUACGCGGAAGCCAUGGCAUGCCCUGAGUCAGCCAAGUGGAAAGAGACAAUGGACAGCGAGAUAUAGUCCAUGUAUGACAAUCAAGUUUGGAACUUGGUUGAGAAUGUACCAGGUCGUAAGAUAGUAGGGUGCAAAUGGAUCUUCACGAAAAAGACCGACAUGGAUGGUAAAGUACACACUUAUAAGGCACGACUGGUUGCAAAGGGUUUCUCACAAACUCUAGGAGUUGAUUAUGAUGAGACCAUUUCUCAAGUGGCCAAGAUUAAGUCUAUUAGGGUUCUGUUAGCCAUAGCCGCAUUUCAUGACUAUGAAAUAUGGCAAAUGGAUGUGAAAACCGCUUUCCUUAAUGGAAAGUUGGCUGAAGAUCUCUACAUGAGUCAGCCAGAGGAUUUUCUCAAUACAGAGUAACCUAAUAGAGUGUGUAAGAUUGAGAAAUCCAUUUAUGGGUUAAAGCAAGCAUCGCGCAGAUGGAAUCUUUGCUUUGAUGAGAAAGUCAAGGAAUUUGGCUUUUCUAGGAGUGAAGAUGAAUCUUGUGUAUAUGUCAAGGCUAGUGGGAGUAUAGUUAGCUUUUUGGUAUUGUAUGUGGAUGACAUACUACUCAUAGGAAAUGACAUCCCAACUCUACAGGAAGUUAAGUCCUGGCUUGGGAAGUGUUUCUCUAUGAAGGACCUAGGAGAAGCUGCCUAUAUUCUAGAGAUAAGGAUCUUGAGAGAUCGGAGUAAAAGACUAAUUGGACUUAGUUAGAAUACCUACUUGGAUAAGGUGCUGAAGAGAUUCAGCAUGCAGGACUCCAUGAAAGGAGAGUUACCCAUCCAGAGUAAUGCCAGAUUGUGUAAGACACAAAGCCCUAGUACUGAUGCUGAGAUAGCAGAAAUGAGUCGAAUACCUUAUGCUUCGGCUGUAGGAUCGAUCAUGUAUGCUAUGACGUGUACUCGACCUGAUGUAGCCUUUGCCUUGAGCAUGGUUAGUAGGUACCAGGGAAACCCUGGCAAGGCACGCUGGACUGCGCUAAAGAAUAUCCUCAAGUACCUACGGAGGACUAAGGACUGGGUCGUCACCCUCGGUGGGAGUGAUGACUUGAGAGUUGUAGGGUAUAGUGAUGCUAGCUUUCAGACUAAUAGGGAUAAUUUCCGCUCUCAGUCAGGCUGGGUCUUUACUCUAAAUGGAGGAGCAAUUUCUUGGAAGAGUUCCAAGCAAGAGACAGUGGCUGAUUCAACUUGUGAAUCAGAGUAUAUUGCAACUAGCGAGGCAGCAAAGGAGGCGAUAUGGCUGAAGAACUUCAUUGGAGACCUUGGAGUUGUACCAGCUAUUAAAGAGCCAAUGGAAAUUUUCUGUGAUAGUGAAAGUGCUGUUGCCUUAGCUAAGGAACCAAGGGAUCAUGGGAGAUCCAGACACAUCGACAGAAAAUACCAUUUCAUUAGACAUCGGAUCGAAGAAGGACUCCUCGUGGCAAAGAGGGUAUCAUCGGAUGAGAACCCAGCAGAUCCCCUCACGAAGGGACUGACUCGGGUUAAGCAUCUCCAGCAUGCUCGGAGCAUAGGGCUGAAGGAUGAUAUUAGAUUUAGUAGUUAGAUAACCUCGAAAUUUGUAAAGUGUAAUUGACAUUAGAUGAUGAAUAAAAGGUGUUUUAUUUAUGAGUAAAGUGUUGCUAUCUCUUGUCGAUCGUUUACUAUAUUUCUUUUGCAUGUUUUGACUUCCAGAAUAAUUUUGUUUGGUAUAACAUAUUAUUCAAACCUCCACAGUCGGUCAUAUGUCGGAAGUAGGUAUGAAUCAAGACUGUCAUGAUUGGUUGUAGAGGUCUAAGGUGUUGGACAAGGCUACAACAAUCAUGAGUGCUCAUAAGUUCUGAGCAUUGGACUCAACCCACGCUCACUGGAAUCACUUCAUGGAAUUCUAUCUCGAGUGAUCGUGAGACGGUAAUAUCAUAUAAGUCUUCAAACCUAGAGAUAUGAUUUGUUACUUACAAGUUGGUUAUGCAUUGACUGUACGAAACCGCAUUGGUAACUCGAUGUUAUAAAACGUACUUUUGUGUGUAAUUCAAUGAGUGGUAGAACAAACAUAUGAGUCGAAGUUUAUCUGUUCCUUCUUGGAUUAGAAGCUGAUAUCUGGGCCCCUCGAUGAUUUUGUUUUGACCCAUGUACCGGGCCCGGUCAGAACUAAGUUGAUGUGUUCAAUUAAGUUCUAUGUCAAACAAAUCGGAAAUCGGGAAACAAAUGCUGGACAAUAAGCAAGACAAUGUUCCAUGUAUUUGUCCGGCUGAUAUCUAGAACGGAGGAUUAUAUGAUCACUUAUCUUAAAUGGCGUACCAUCAUCUUCUCAGUUCCGAGAGACCUUGAAAGAGCUACGAUUGCCGGUCGGUUCCUGAAGUACUAGAGAUAUAGUUAUUAGACUUAUCCAAGUGGGAGACUGUUGGAUCAGGUGUCCAAGUCCAUAACUAUUUCUGGUAAGUACUUGACCCGACCCGGCAUGGUCCAUUUGGGUUGCAUGGCACCAUGCAAUUGGAUAGACUAAAUGAGAGAAAUAAGACUUGGAGAUUAUUAAUAUAUUAUAAGUUCUAAUAUAUUAAUAAUAUUAUUUAAUUAGUUUGAUCAAGAAUUAAUUUAGAAUUAAUUAAGUGAUCAAAAGAUAACUAAUUAAAUAUAUGGGUUGAUUAUGUAAAUCAUCCAUAUCUUGUAUAGUGGGCUAAGAGGCUCCAUGGAUUAUCAAGUUGGGUUCCACCCAUAGGAUGCUCCAUGGAUGCUCCAUGGGAGUUACAAACCCAUGGGUCAUGGAAAUGAAGAGUCAUGACACAUUAGGGUUUACAUGGUGUAACCCUAGAUGUGUCAACACUAUAUAAGAAUCCUAUUCUCCACCAAAAUUGGCUACACAUAUGAAAUAAGAGGGCUAGGGCGAUUUUAAGAAGUGUAUGUUCUCUCAAAAGUCAUUCCAAGAGCAUUUGGUGUUGUGUGAAGCAUAUGAGGCAUCACACUUGGGGUGCUAGGCUCACAAGGUUUCAAGGAACACUUUCAAAAACAAGGUAUGUAGUUCUAUCUUUCAUUCAAGUUAAAAAUUGUACCCCAUGUAUGCUACAUAGGGUCAUAACCUUGGAAAACAACUUUGCAUGAUCAUUAGACAAACAUAGAUCCAAGCUUAUUAGGGUUGCGUGUACACUUAGGAAGUGUUAGAAUGCUCUAAACCCAUCAUAGAUAAGGGUCAUUAGUUAACAUGGUGUAGUUACUUAUGGUGUCCAUGGAUGACAUAUGGGUUAUUGGUCAACAUGGUAGUUGCUUAUGGUGUCCAUGGAUGACAUAUGGGUCAUUGGUCAACAAGGUGUAGUUGCUUAUGGUGUCCAUGGAUGACAUAUGGGUUAUUGGUCAACAUGGUAGUUGCUUAUGGUGUCCAUGGAUGAAAUAUGGGCCAUUGGUCAACAUGGUAGUUGCUUAUGGUGUCCAUGGAUGACAUAUGGGUCAUUAGUCAACAGUGUGACAACCCGAUAUUUCAACUCUAUGUAAUGACCUAAAAAGUCAAGUAUUGUAACCACUUUUGAUAUAAUGAAAUUAACUUCUAAAAUAUAAUGUCCAAAAGUCUGUAAUUAAUUACCUACUAUGUUAGAUGUCAUUAAACCAUGAUCGUACGUAAAAAGAACGCCCAAAUCUGACUUCGUAUAAGGAAGUUAUGAUUUUUCCAAGUUCGGCUUAGUGACAGACAGCUAAAAACUCGAAAUGGAGAUCGAGCGACUUUUGGCCGGAAUGACCUAAAUGAGAAUCAAAGGUCUCGACAAUGGUUUUUCAACGGUAAAAAGUCUGGCAAAAACAGACUUCAGAUAAUGAAGUUAUGAAUUUCUAACGAAAUUUUCUUACCGCGACCUUUUAAAAAUAAAAAAAUAAAAAUAAUUUCAAUAUUUGUCAACGGAGUAUAAACGAAAGUUGUAGAGCGUAGUCUCACCUACGCGCAGAUAUAAAGAACGUCGAAAACGGAGUUUGUAUGAAGAAGAUAUGAAUUUUUUAAGUUUAUUAAAUAAUAAAAAUUUAAAUUUAAAUCAAAUUUCGGUAUUAUCCGAAGGAGGAGUCACCAGGCCAAUCCGAGUUACGCCUAGCGUACUCGAGGACUAGGCCUUGGAUCGUCCACGUCGCCUCCUAUGCGAGGCUCUGCCCCGUCCCAUCCGAAGCUCCGAGGCAGUCGAGGAGGCGGUUACGCAUGAUGCACGCGUACGCCGAGCGUACCGAGGCAGUUCCAGCCCCUAUAAAAGGGAUGCGAGGGUUCCGACGAAAUGGCUCAAUUCCUCUCAUCUUUCUUGAGUUUUUGCCUCGUUUUCCAUGCACGUGAUAUCCCGAAGUCCAGGUUUCCUUGCUCAAGUCCCGAAGGUCGUUUGUGCUCCCGAGAUUCCCGAGAAUCCCGAGAAAAUCCGCUUUCUCGAGUCAAAAUUCUGCUCGGUUUUCAUCUCGCCUUCUUCGAUCUUUCAAGUGAGUUCAUACCCCUAUAAUCCACACUUUUAAAUGUUUUAUAAAUGCUUUUAUAUGCUUUUUAAGGGGGGAAAUACAAGUAAAACACACGAUUAUUAUCGUGUGUUAUAUAAAGAUUCAUUAUACACUUUUUAUCAAUGGAAUCAUAUGUGAUUUAUAACUAUUAUAGGGAAACUUUCGUAUGCAAAAUAUAUCACGAUAACAUCUUGUCUUUUGAAAUGAAAAAUGUUGUUAUAUAUAUAAAUCAAACACUAUGCUUAUACUGUAUGUAUAUGUGUCCAUUUUUGGCACUACAAAAGUUAUACUUUUCAUAACAAGUCAGCAUUUCACUACGGUUUACUAUACAAACGAGACACACUUUUAGAAAACUAUAUUAGGUAUAGUUUUACAAGAACAUCACGAACUUUUUCGUACUAGAAACACUAUUUCAAGGAGAUACAUUCAUAUACAAGAACAAACAAACAUUUUCAUACGUAAAUCUGUUUUAUACUAAGUUUUGUGAGACAUUAAACUUCACGUACGUUCGAGUACGCAUUUCAAGUCCUGUAUUAUAUACCAGAAUCCCUUGGAGGGGGAGCAUGGUGUUUGUGUAUAGAUCUAUACGGGAUUGAAAACCCCGCGCCCUGACUGUUAGCUACAGUACACCAUUUGGGGUGACAAACGUUAGAACAUUCCAACGCCUGAAGAACGUUGUGUAUAGGCAUUUCUAGUCAAUAGCAUGGUUAUAAAACUCACAUGGAGUAUUAAAAACACGUUGAUUUACGGGGUUUUUCAGACGUGUUGGCAAUUUUAUACGUACAUAAAUUAACUACUUUAGGCAUGAAAAACCUUAUUGUGAUACAAUUUUGGAACUUCUAAACCACUACCCACAUACGGAAAAACAUCAAUUUUCUAGAAACAAACAUUGGUCUUGAUAGAAGGCUACAUUUAUACUAGUAGAAAAUAUGGGAUUUUCUAGCAACAAACAAACAAAAACAAAACAUUUCAUUUUAGUUCAUACAAACAUUGUCAUUUAAUACUUAUGAAACUCACCAGCUUAAAUGCUGUUCUACUCUUUCAAAACUACUUGUAUGUCCUCGGGAUUCAGUAAUUACAGGUAACAAACAGCUUUUGAAGAAGGGACGCUGCGGCGCCAGUUUAAAUUCAUAUUUUGGCAUCAUAUUGUAAUUGGUUUUGAACAUGUACCUUUUAACAAUGUAAACUUUCAAUUAAAUAUAUGAUGGUUAUAUUGCUUUUUUUACUAUUAUUCAAUUGUUAUGGUACUACAUGAAGUCAUCCGCCCACAAACGUUUCCGCCGUUCCGGUUUGGGGGUGUGCCAGAUUGGUAUCAGAGCAAUGUUUAUAGUGAACUAAGUAUAUCGAACCACAUAAGAUAUACAAACUAUAAACGCUUAAGGGACUAAUACUCUCUGACAAAACAUUUUUUUGUUUUACGCCUAAUUCGCGUUUCGUUUAACUUAAAUUGUUAGUUCAUUUAAGUGCAAAUACAUGCAUACAACAACUUAUUUUCAUGAUUAUAACUAUACAAGAAGUAUUUAGACAAGUUGGACACUACGAUUAAGACUCGAUAUAUGUAAUCAGAUUUGGGCCAAAUAUAGCAUGAUCAAAUAUAUUUGUCCGAGAUCGGACCAAUGUAUAUCGAGGAAUACUCGUAGUGAGCAACAAGUCAAAAGUUACCAAAACAUCACAAGAAUCAAACACACGAAUUUAAAUACUAUAGGAGUAUUUGUUACAUAAAAUAGCUUAACUUACAUGUUUAGUCUUACAUAUUCCAAAUUUUAUUCAAUUCUUAUAACCCUAUUCUCGUACAGUCAAAUGGCUGGAUUUCACAACCCCGGCGACCCCUACUAUCACAACCAAGGCAAUGGGGGAUGGAUCGGAGAGGAUCCUGAGGAGGACGAAGAACCCAUAGAAUUGGAUGAAGAGGAGGACUCUGGUAUCGACUCAGAGCCGGAAGUAAUCAACCCACCACCCGCACAACCUCUCGUAUUCGUGAGAAACUUUCAAGGACCGAAUCCUGUUUGGAAAAGUCACCUCCACCAUUGGAUCCAACAACAAAGUCUACACCCUCCUUAUGGCAUGUGUCGAGAUUUCUACGAUGUCCGCAGCGGAGGUUCAGCCGAUCGAGCACUCACAGUCAUGGUGCGCAAACUAGCCAACCAGUUCUACCAAUCCGGAGUUCAAGCUAGCCGGAUUCGGGAAGUCAACGUGGAAGUACAGGUUCACACUCCCGAAAUCCGUAGGCUGGACAGAGCUCAGGAGAAUACCCAACUCCAAACCGAAGCAUUCCAAGCGCAAAUGAUUUCGGCCCUCUCCGAAUUGAGGGAACAACAAGCCGCCUUCAAUUGGCGUCUUAUGGAAUCAAAGCAAUCGGAUGCGGAGUCAAACUCCAAGCGCAACCUACGUCGCAAGUAGUUCUUGCCAAAAUCCCAAAUUUUGUUAUAAGUUAGGACCUCGACUAAAAGUUUUAUUUUUCUUAAACUUUGUAACCGGAGACCCUUAUAGGGGUCAAAUUUUCGUGAUCGUUGUAUCAACUAUUAUAUUAAUAUAAUUGGCACGCUAUUAUUACUACAUUAAGUAUUUCGUUCAAUCCUCAAAAUAUUAUGGAGAAACCAUACGCUUGUUUCAUAUAUUCAGAUUUACGAAUAACUUCCAUUCUUUUAUCUUUGAAACUCAUACUAUCAUCUGUUGUUGAUCUAUAGCGAUUUAGUUCAUGAGGCACAUUCAUUUUCUAUGCUAUGGAAUUCUUAUCUUUAUCUUCUCAACCUGUAGUUGGAGGAUGCCUCCGCGUAGAAACCCGAGACGAAACAACGUUGGGGAAGCACCAAUACCACCACCGCCUCCACCUCCUCAAUUUGAUGUUGUCAUGUUCCAAACAGCAGUUACAGUAGCUGUGGUGUCUGCCAUGUCACAAAUCAAUACCCCUGUUACUACUGGUUCGGGAAUUGGCACACUUCCUUCCAUCCAUGGCGAGAGUCAUGGGCAACCCCGAGAGUGCACCUAUAAAGACUUUACGAAUGCCAAGCCCCAGAUGUUUAAUGGAACUAGUGGUGUGAUGAUUUUGAGGCAAUGGGUUGAAAGGACAGGAUCAGUCUUUGAAAUCUGCUCCUGUCCCGAGCACAGCAAAGUUAAGUUUGCCGCUUUCACACUUACUGAUAGGGCUUUAACUUGGUGGAAUGGCCGCGUUAAGGUACUUAAUCUGAUAGCGGCGAAUGCAAUAAGCAGGGAGAGCAUAAAAAUCAUGCUGAUGAGAGAAUACUGUCCACGAGGAGAGAUUCAAAAACUCGAGCACGAACUCUGGACUCUUGGAAUGAUUGGUACCGAUAUAGCAACUUAUACCAACAAAUUCUGCGAUCUGGCAGUCCUUUGCCCAGAUAUGAUUGCUCCUGAGAGCAAGAAAAUAGAGAAAUACAUUUGGGGACUGUCGCCCCAAAUUUAGUCAAGCGUGUUAGCUUCAAAACCUAUCACUUUUGAAAGUGCCAAAGAGCUGGCACAAUCUCUUACUGAUCACAGAAGUCAUUAGAACUCAACAAUUUCUGCACCAGAACCACAAAAGGGAAACAACAACAACAAUAACAAGAAGAGAUGAUGGAAUAAGGGGAAGGGUGGGUCUUCCCAAGAAUCCUCGAAGGAACAACAACUAGUUACAGUGAAUNUGUGAGUGUGUGUGUGUUGUGUUCGGCCGAGAGUGAGAGAGAGGAGAGAAGAGAAGUGAUUUUGAAGUGAUGUGCAUACAUGGAAGUAUGAGAUGUUGCAUGGAUGUCCUAUGGAUAACAAUGAUGUGGCACAACAAGUCAACUCUUCCAUCCUCUUGGGCUUGUGCAUUUGGGCCGAGAAUUUGGAAAGAAAAGGAAAAAUUUGGGCCUUUGCCCCUAAGCCCAAUAUUAGUGUUAAUCUUGAGUAUGUUUUAAGCCUAAAAGAAUGUGGUAGGAUUUUCAUAUUUUUAUUGGACUAGUUUAGGUUAUUCAUGUAUCAAGGCUUUUAAUUCAUUUCCUUCUAGGUCCAACAUGGCCCAAAAUGUUGAAAUAAAUUAGUGUGGGUCCAAUUAGAGCCCAAUUAGGGUUCUAAGCCCAUGAUAGUCUAAUUGGAAGCUUAUUGGUCCACUUGGAUCCAAUAAGGGAGUCCUAGUCCGAAAUGGACAUUAAACAAGGACUUCUAGGGUUUCCAAUUGUCUGAUGACUAUUUGUAGUACUUGUAUAAUGUAUUUGGUUGAAGUUUUUGAAGUCAUAAUCAUAGGUGUCAAUCAUGUUCUUAAGUUUUUGAUUCACAUUAGCUUGAAUGUAUAGAUUACAUGACACAAAAUUUCCAGUUGUGACAGUGGGACGAGUUUUGGCUAUUGGCCACGAAGAAGCCAUAGCUGAUCCUACAGUAGUUGCUAGUACAUUUCUUCUCGAUAAUUCAUACGCAUGCAUACUAUUCGAUAGUGGAGCAGAGAGAAGCUUCGUAAGCCAAAACUUUAUUCACUUACUUAAGCAUAAACCUAGCAUGUUAGAAAAAUCAUUCACUGUAGAAAUGGCAAACGGAAGAACGAAAACCACUAAAUGCAUAUACAUGAGUUGUACAUUAACUUUAGACGGUCAUUCUUUCCCAAUCAACCUCAUGCUGGUCCAAAUUAAAAGUUUCGAUGUCAUAGUUGGCAUGGAUUGGUUAAGUCUUAUUUGUGCUGACAUCAUGUGCUUUGAAAAAGCAGUUCGUCUUAAUCUCCCUAAUGAUGAAACAUUACUGAUUUAUGGCGACAAAUCAAGUACAAACCUUCACAUCAUUUCAUGCAUCCAAGCUCGAAAGUGUUUGCGGAAGGAUUAUUAUGCAUUUCUUGCUCACAUCGUCGAUACGAGUCAGGAAGUAAAGGAUACUAAGAGCAUUCCAGAAGUACGCGACUUUCCCGAUAUAUUUCCAGAAGAACUACCGGGAUUACCACCGCGUCGUCUAGUCGACUUUAGAAUCAACUUAGUUCCAGGGGCUACCGUAGUUGCAAAAUCGCCUUAUCGCCUGGCACCAACAAAGAUGCAAGAAUUUUCCAGUCAGCUUAACGAACUCCACCAAAAAGGAUUCAUUAGACCAAGCUUCUCACCUUGGGGAGCACCGGUCUUGUUUGUAAUGAAGAAAGAUGGAUCGUUCCAUAUACGCAUUGACUACAGAGAACUGAACAAACUUACUGUCAAAAAUCGUUACCCUGUGCCCCGCAUUGAAGACGUAUUUGAUCAACUUCAAGGAGAAAACUACUUCUCGAAGAUAGAUCUACGAUCCGGAUAUCACCAAUUGCGAGUACUAGAGGAGGAUAUUCCCAAGACAACCUUUCGAACCCGUUAUGGACACUACGAAUUUGUAGUGAUGCCGUUCGGAUUAACCAACGCACCAGCGGUAUUCAUGGACCUAAUGAAUACGGUGUGCCGUCCUUACUUAGAUCAGUUUGUCAUCGUAUUCAUCGAUGAUAUACUUAUCUACUCCCGAAGUAAGGAAGAGCAUAGUCAGCACCUACGAAAAGUCUUAGAAACAUUAUGAUCGGAGAAGCUCUAUGCGAAGUUCUCAAAAUGCGAAUUUUGGAUUCGAAGAGUCGAAUUUUUGGGCCACGUUGUUAGCGAAAAGGGGAUACACGUGGACCCCUCUAAAAUUAAGGCCAUUGAGAACUGGUCGGCACCAAAGACGCCUACAAAGAUUCAUCAAUUUCUAGGUCUCGCUGGCUACUAUCGCAGAUUCAUAAAGAACUUCUCUAGCAUUGCGAAACCUCUUACUACAUUAACCCAGAAAGGCGUGGCCUUUGACUGGGAAGCAAAACUAGAGAAGGCGUUCCAAACACUGAAACAGGCCUUGUGCACCGCACCGAUACUAUCCCUCCCCGAAGGGAUAGAAGAUUUCGUAGUGUAUUGCGAUGCAUCAAAUCAAGGACUUGGUUGGGUUCUUAUGCAAAGAGGGAAGGUUAUUGCCUAUGCCUCCCGUCAGCUUAAGAUACACAAAGUAAACUAUACAACACACGUUCUUGAGUUAGCAGCAGUGGUAUUUGCUCUGAAGAUCUGGAGACACUACCUGUAUGGAACAAAGAGUACUAUUUUCAUCGACCAUAAGAGCCUUCAACACAUUUUCGAUUAGAAGGAGCUCAACAUGCGACAACGACGAUGGGUCGAGCUACUCAAUGACUACGAAUGCAAAAUUCAUUAUCAUCCUAGCAAGGCCAAUGUAGUAGCUGAUGCCCUCAGUCGAAAAGAAUACACUGGUCGGAGAGUCAAAUCUCUGACUAUGACUAUCCAUUCCCACUUAUCCACACAAAUUAAGGAGGUUCAACUGGAAGCUUUGCAACCUGAACAUGUGGCGGGUGAAUCCCUGAGAGGAAUGGAAAAGAAUCUAGAAAUCAAGCAUGGCGGAGCAUAUUAUCUCAUGGACCUUAUCUGGACACCGAGACAUGGUGGCUUUAGAGACGUGGUCAUGACCGAAGAACACAACACGAGGUAUUCCGUUCACCCAGGUUCAGAUAAAAUGUAUCUAGAUCUUAAGAAAAUGUACUGGUGGCCUAACAUGAAAGCAGAAAUUGCUACCUUCGUAAGUAAAUGUCUUAGUUGCGCUAAGGUUAAGGUCGAGUAUCAGAAACCUUCAGGAUUACUACAACAACCGGAGAUACCAGAAUGGAAAUGGGAACAGAUUACUGUGGACUUCAUAACUAAGUUGCCCAAGACAACGGGUGGACUCGAUACCAUAUGCGUCAUCAUCGACAGAUUGACCAAAUCCGUGCAUUUUCUACCAAUCAAGGAGACUGACAAGAUGGAAAGGCUUACAAGAACUUAAAUAAGGGAAAUAGUGUGACUGCAUGGUCUUCCGAUAUCCAUUAUCUCCGAUAGAGAUAGUAGAUUCACUUCAAGGUUCUGGCAGUCACUACAAAGUUCCAUGGGGACUAGGCUAGACAUGAGUAUAGCCUACCAUCCACAAACAGACGGGCAAAGUGAGAGAACGAUACAAACUUUGGAAGAUAUGAUGAGAGCCUAUGUGAUUGACUUUGGAAAGGCAUGGGAUAUCCAUUUACCCCUUGUCGAAUUUUCAUACAAUAAUAGUUAUCAUACGAGCAUAAAGGCUGCUCCAUUUGAAGCCCUCUAUGGCCGUAAGUGCAGGUCCCCUCUGUGUUGGACUGAAGUUGGCGACACACAAUUAGCUAAAGGACGAGUUCCUGAAAGCACUUUCACCGGUCCGGAAAUCAUACGGGAAACGAUAGAGAAGAUCGUUCAGAUUCGUGAACGGUUUAAAGCCUCUAGAGACCGACAGAAAAGCUACGCUGACCAAAGGAGGAAAUCUUUGGAAUUCCAAGUAGGAGACCACGUACUAUUGAAGGUCUCACCGUGGAAAGGCUUAAUAUGCUUUGGAAAGGGUGGAAAGCUAAAUCCAAGAUACAUAGGGCCUUUCGAGAUUCUCACCAGAAUCGGCCCUGUAGCUUACAAACUCAAUCUACCACGUGAACUUAGUAACAUACACCCAAGACAACGGGUGGACUCGAUACCAUAUUGGUUUUGAACAUGUACCUUUUAACAAUGUAAACUUUCACUUAUAUAUAUGAUGGUUAUAUUGCUUUCUUUACUAUGUAUUCAAUUGUCAUGGUACUAAAUGAAGAUAUCCGCCCCCGAACGUUUCCGCCAUUCUGGUUUGGGGGUGUGACAAACAGGUAGUUGCUUAUGGUGUCCAUGGAUGAUAUAUGGGUCAUUUGUCAACAUGGUAGUUACUUACGGAGUCCAUGAAUGACAUGUAGGUCAUUGGUCAACAUGUAGUUGCUUAUGGUGUCUGACAUAUGGGUAAUUAGUAAACUUGGUGUAAUUGCUUAUGGUGUCCAUGGAUGACAUAUGGGUCAUUGGUCAACAUGAAAGUUGCUUAUGGUGUCCAUGGAUGACAAAAGAGCCAUUGAUUAACAUGGUGUAGUUACUUAUGAUGUCCAUGGAUGACAUAUGGGUUAUUGGUCAACAUGGUAGUUGCUUAUGGUAUCCAUGGAUGACAUAUGAGUCAUUGGUCAACAAGGUGUAGUUGCUUAUGGUGUCCAUGGAUGACAUAUGGGUCAUUGGUAAACAUGGUGUAGUUUCUUAUAGUAUCUAUGGAUAACAUAUGGCUCAUUGGUCAACAUGGUGUAUUUGCUUAUGGUGUCCAUGGAUGACAUAUGGGUCAUUGGUUAACAUGGUGUAGUUGCUUAUGGUGUCCAUGGAUGAAAUAUGGGUCAUUGGUCAACAUAGUAGUUCCUUAUGGUGUCCACGGAUGACAUAUGGAUCAUUAGUCAACAUGUAGUUGUCUAUUGUGUCCAUGGAUGACGUAUGGGUCAAUGGUCAACAUGGUAGUUGCUUAUGGUGUCCAUAGAUGACAUAUAGGUCAUUGGUCAACAUGUAGAUGCUUAUGGUGUCUGACAUAUGGGUAAUUAUUAAACUUUGUGUAAUUGCUUUUGGUGUCCAUGGAUGACAUAUAGGUAACUGGUCAACAUGUUAGUUGCUUAUGGUGUCCAUGGAUGACAUAAGGGUCAUUGGUUAACAUGGUGUAGUUACUUAUGAUGUCCAUGGAUGAUAUAUGGGUUCUUGGUCAACAUGGUAGUUCCUUAUGGUGUCCAUGGAUGACAUAUGGGUCAUUAGUCAACAAGGUGUAGUUGCUUAUGAUGUCCUUGGAUGACAUAUGGGUCAUUGGUCAACAUGGUGUAGUUGCUUAUGGUGUCCAUUCAUGACAUAUGGGUCAUUGGUC